UUAUCCCAAUGCUAAAAAGGAACCUCCUCCCGAAUGUGUUCCUCUUUUUGCUCUUCUUUGCUUGUAUCACCUUCCUCCGCCAUACUCGGCUAGGGAUUUCCCCACAUCCUCUUCCCCUUUUUGCUGUUAAAUUGAUACAUAGAGCUCUGAUCGUUGAGGGGAAAAUUAAGGAAGGAAUUUGAGAAACUGCAAUCAGGAUCUCGGCCUCGGCCUCGGAGUCCUAAGAAAAAAAAGGCCUUUGGUUGAAUCAGUGACCAGAGUGUCCUUUUUUCAGGAGGGCGACACCAUCAACAAACCCUAAUUAAUUUUAACAACUGCUUCAUUUCGAUCUCAACUUUUAUUCAAUCAUGCAGUUGUUGAGGUCUCUCCCUUUCUCUCUCUCUCUCUCUCUCUCUCUCUCUGCAU
rnacentral:lncRNA from 1 species